CGGAGGUGGCGAGCGUUGUCCGAAGUUACUGGGCGUAAAGCGCGCGUAGGCGGGUUGUUAAGUGAGGGGUGAAAGGCUGAGGCUCAACCUCAUGUUUGUCCUCUCAUACUGGCAGUCUUGAGUGAGGCAGGGAGAAGUGGAAUGGCUGGUGUAGCGGUGAAAUGCGUAGAUAUCAGUCGGAACACCGGUGGCGAAGGCGGCUUCUUGGGCCUUUACUGACGCUGAGGCGCGAAAGCUGGGGGAGCGAACGGGAUUAGAUACCCCGGUAGUCCCAGCCGUAAACGAUGGACACUAGGUGUCGGGGGUAUCGACCCCUCCGGUGCCGCAGCUAACGCAUUAAGUGUCCCGCCUGGGGAGUGCGGCCGCAAGGUUG
rnacentral:rRNA from 1 species